rnacentral:rRNA from 1 species
CACGUAGGGUGCGAGCGUUGUCCGGAAUUAUUGGGCGUAAAGAGCUCGUAGGCGGUGUGUCGCGUCGGCCGUGAAAACUUGCAGCUUAACUGUGGGCGUGCGGUCGAUACGGGCAUCACUGGAGUUCGGCAGGGGAGACUGGAAUUCCUGGUGUAGCGGUGAAAUGCGCAGAUAUCGGGAGGAACACCCGUAGCGAAGGCGGCACUCUGGGCCGGAACUGACGCUGAGGAGCGAAAGCGUGGGGAGCAAACAGG